rnacentral:rRNA from 1 species
UACGAAGGGGGCUAGCGUUGCUCGGAAUUACUGGGCGUAAAGCGCACGUAGGCGGGUCGUUAAGUCAGGGGUGAAAUCCCGGAGCUCAACUCCGGAACUGCCUUUGAUACUGGCGAUCUAGAGGUCGAGAGAGGUGAGUGGAAUUCCGAGUGUAGAGGUGAAAUUCGUAGAUAUUCGGAAGAACACCAGUGGCGAAGGCGGCUCACUGGCUCGAUACUGACGCUGAGGUGCGAAAGCUAGGGGAGCGAACGGGAUUAGAA